UCCUCUGACGUUAGCGGCGGACGGGUGAGUAACACGUGGAUAACCUACCUAUAAGACUGGGAUAACUUCGGGAAACCGGAGCUAAUACCGGAUAAUAUAUUGAACCGCAUGGUUCAAUAGUGAAAGACGGUUUUGCUGUCACUUAUAGAUGGAUCCGCGCCGCAUUAGCUAGUUGGUAAGGUAACGGCUUACCAAGGCGACGAUGCGUAGCCGACCUGAGAGGGUGAUCGGCCACACUGGAACUGAGACACGGUCCAGACUCCUACGGGAGGCAGCAGUAGGGAAUCUUCCGCAAUGGGCGAAAGCCUGACGGAGCAACGCCGCGUGAGUGAUGAAGGUCUUCGGAUCGUAAAACUCUGUUAUUAGGGAAGAACAAAUGUGUAAGUAACUAUGCACGUCUUGACGGUACCUAAUCAGAAAGCCACGGCUAACUACGUGCCAGCAGCCGCGGUAAUACGUAGGUGGCAAGCGUUAUCCGGAAUUAUUGGGCGUAAAGCGCGCGUAGGCGGUUUUUUAAGUCUGAUGUGAAAGCCCACGGCUCAACCGUGGAGGGUCAUUGGAAACUGGAAAACUUGAGUGCAGAAGAGGAAAGUGGAAUUCCAUGUGUAGCGGUGAAAUGCGCAGAGAUAUGGAGGAACACCAGUGGCGAAGGCGACUUUCUGGUCUGUAACUGACGCUGAUGUGCGAAAGCGUGGGGAUCAAACAGGAUUAGAUAUCCUGGUAGUCCACGCCGUAAACGAUGAGUGCUAAGUGUUAGGGGGUUUCC
rnacentral:rRNA from 1 species